rnacentral:rRNA from 1 species
GACAGAGGGUGCGAACGUUGUUCGGAAUUACUGGGCGUAAAGCGCAUGUAGGCGGCAGCGCAAGUCGGGCGUGAAAUCCCACGGCUCAACCGUGGAAGUGCACUCGAAACUGCGCAGCUAGAGUCUCGGAGAGGAAGGUGGAAUGCUUGGUGUAGAGGUGAAAUUCGUAGAUAUCAAGCGGAACACCGGUGGCGAAGGCGGCCUUCUGGACGAUGACUGACGCUGAGACGCGAAAGCGUGGGGAGCAAACAGG